rnacentral:rRNA from 1 species
GACGAACGCUGGCGGCGUGCUUAACACAUGCAAGUCGAGCGGUAAGGCCCUUUCGGGGGUACGACGAGCGGCGAACGGGUGAGUAACACGUGGGUGACCUGCCCUCAGCUCUGGGAUAAGCCUGGGAAACCGGGUCUAAUACUGGAUAUGACUCCAUGACGCAUGUUGUGGGGUGGAAAGCCUUGUGCGGCUGAGGAUGGGCCCGCGGCCUAUCAGCUUGUUGGUGGGGUGAUGGCCUACCAAGGCGACGACGGGUAGCCGGCCUGAGAGGGCGACCGGCCACACUGGGACUGAGACACGGCCCAGACUCCUACGGGAGGGCAGCAGUGGGGAAUCUUGCGCAAUGGGCGAAAGCCUGACGCAGCGACGCCGCGUGAGGG